CGGGCCGCCUUGGGGCCUCGGGAAGGCACGGACGCCCGCGGCGCGGCGGGGGUGUGCGCUGUGUGCGUGCGGGUGUCCACACACGCCGGCCGGGGCACGCGGCUGCUCCGCCGAGGGAGCACUGCGGCGCUGCUUGUCUUGCAAGGCCGGGCGAGCGUCGCCUGCGCCCCGCGCGCCGCGAGCUCCGCCAGGAAGAUGGAUCGUCAGCGUUAAUUUGAUCAUGGACAAUAGAGUCUCUCCUGCGGGAAAGUGGCUCGGUGCCUCCGCGUCCUGGGCUGCCGGAGCGUCCCGGCCCAGGAGACGCCUGGGGGCAGCCGGCGGGGUCGGCGCCACCCGACCCCUGACAGGUUACCAGGCCAGGCCUGGGCGUCUUGCUGGACGUUGAAGACGUGUUCUGAGAAGUGCUGCCGCUGGGGGCGAGGCCCGGGCCGGCGUGUUUGGGCGGUGCAGGGCUGCCCUCCUUAGUGUGUUUGCUCAAUUCAGGGGUGCAGUUGAACUUAGUGGAUGCCGAGAGCCAGCCUUAGCCGCGAGAGCAUCGUGUCCAGGUGCCCCUGUGCAAACGCUGGUCCCGGUAGUGUGCUUUGUACCAACCAAAAGUCCUGGGUUGGAUGAGAGGAAGAACCCUACCAGGAGGGCAGGGCGUCCUCCAGCGGAAGGGUCUCGCUUUCAUGUAUCUGCAGUUGGAGGCCACUGAAGUGGAGGGUGCUGUGGUUUUAAGAGGGGCAGGAUGCUUGGGCAGAAUCCCCACCCCCUUCCCUCUGCAUGUCAGGCAGGGCCAUGGCCUUCCAGGAGAGCUACAGCAGCAGUCUGCCUUCCGGGGCUGUGCCCUCUGGAUUUCUGGUGGCUCUCAUUUCUCUAUUUCCAGGCUGCUGAUUUAUUUUCUUGCUUCAUCCCUUUGGUCCGGCCAAGACUCACCUGGGGCACCAGGUGGCAUGUGCGUGGGCAGUGUGGAGUCAUAUCUUAGCCACAGUUGAUCAGCACUUUCUCCCUUCUCAGCGCUGUUGGCCAGUGAUGGUAAAAAGCUUGCAGAGUGGCUUGUCCAUAAUACAGACUGGCCGGUAAGACCUCUAUUGAGGAACACUGAGAAUGGCCCAAAGCCGGCAGGAAUGUGCCUGAAAGCCUGGUGCUGGCGUUGCGCAGCCUCCUCCCUCUGUGAGGGAGAGGGUAUCAGCCCACAGAGAGGCUUUGCCUUGGCACUAUGUAGUCUGAACUACUAACCCCGAAGUGCUUUGGUUUGAAACUUGGCCAGUUAGGUGGAGAAAGUGGAUGUUGUGUUGCUGAGCCCUUGGCAUUUGGCAGCCCUGUAGACUUGAACCAUGUCCCAGCCAGGCUGGAUGACUGGCAGACUAUACCCUUGGGGGACUUGCUAAUUCCAGGGGAGGAUCCGGGUGGAGCUCCAGCCUUAUGGGGUCCUAGCCCUUUGUGUGUAUCUGUCUCCCAUGAGGUCACCUGGCUGCCUUGUUGGUGACUUAAGAUGCUCUGUGGAUUCCUCAAGAGACGGGCUCUGUCUGCCUCUGCAUGACUCGUGAUGAGUGGCGGUGGGACCUGGACCCAUCUGCUGAUGAUCAGGUGGUGUUGCAGCAAGGUUCCUCCAGAGCUCCAGCUCUGCGUCUGUUACGGGAGCUGUGAAGGCUGCACGGUGCUCAUUUCAGAUGGUUCUUCCUGGCUCUCUGGCUGCAUCCACAGAAGUCUGAUGAAACACUGUGAAAGCCGGCGUCAAGUAUUGAAGGCACCUGGCUGAGAGCCUCUUUUGCUGCAUGAAGACCUCUGGCUGAGUGGGGUUCACAACACCUCGUUUUUAUUUCCCAUUCUUGAAGCUGAGCUCUGGGGCUCAAGCACUUCCAGCAAAGCAGUUUGACUUUCUAGCAAGAGGAUGUGGUUGCAUUUUCCUUUCUCCCUUAAAAGAAAAAAAAAAUGCGUCGUUUGUAGAUGAUGGUUUUUUUUUUGACAGCACGAUGCCUACCUUAGCGAUUUGAGAUUUUAGGCCCCUUCUUGGCCGGGAUCCUUGUCAUUUUUAAUAAGGCUUAGAAUCAUUGGGUGAAUCCUGUUUGGGACUGGGGUGAUGCUGUUAUUUUUCUCUUAGAAAUAGGGAUGUCUACAUUAUGUGGAGCUGUAGUUAAUUUAGUGAGGCUUAAGAACCACUCAGACAUGCUGCUGUUCUUUGCAUGUUCUUCUGUUAUCAAUAAUGAUACCACUUUUCAUUUCUGUAGAACUUUAACAGAAAUAUUUUUGCAUGUAUAGUCUCAUUGUGUGGCUUCACCAACCCUGUGAGGGAGGGUGGGUAGCUUCCUCAUCCUCAUUUUAUGGAGGAGCGAGUGGAGGUUCAGGGAGGGUUAAUGACCUCCUUAACAUUUGACUGAGGUGGUUUGAAGUCUGAUCUGAACCAAGGGAUCAUUUGAAUGGAGUUUCUGUCUCCACACUGCAUGUGGAUGGCAGGAACCCAGUGCUGGCAACUAAGCCUGCACUGGAACAUCACAGUAACUGCAGAGGGCUCCCCGCAAGGAGCUGCCCCUGCCUGUGCGUGCACCUUGGAGGUUUUAAAGUCUAACUGUUUCCAAUCAGGACAGCAGGUGCACAUCAUAACAAAUGGUUCAAAAAGUCAUUUGUCCCACCAAAUAGAAAACUGGCCACAUUUUAGAAGAUUUCCAGCUAGGGAUUUUUUUUUUCCCCUUCCUCUGUAUGUACAUACACAAAAUUGGGGUCUGACUUCCAAAGCUUCUGGACUACCAUGAUGUGGGCGCUUCUUUUUUUUUUUUUUUGAGAUGGAGUCUCGCUCUGUCGCCCAGGCUGGAAUGCAGUGGCGCGAUCUUGGCUCACUGCAGGCUCCGCCCCAGGUUCACGCCAUUCUCCUGCCUCAGCCUCCCGAGUAGCUGGGUCUACAGGCGCCCACCACCUCGCCCGGCUAAUUUUUUCUGUUUUUUUAGUAGAGAUGGGGUUUCAUCGUGUUAGCCGGUAUGGUCUCCGUCUCCUAACCUCGUGAUCCGCCCGCCUUGGCCUCCCAAAGUGCUGGGAUUACAGGUGUGAGCCACCGUGCCCGGCCGGGCACUUCUUAACGUUAUGAAGAGCUUUUGAAGAUAGGGUUUCUCUUGUUGGCACAAAAUUCCCACAUUUGGCUGCACCCUACUCAAAACUUCACUGUUUUCUGGCAUCUUCAGGAAUUUUUGCUGUUGGAGUGAGGUGCAGCCUUGUCCAAGGGAAGGAUGUUUUGGCUAAUGCUUAUUUCAGAGCGAAUGGAGGUGGGUCUGGGUUGUAAAAUCUCUUAACGAUGGACUAAACAUAUUUUAGUUGAAAGGCCCACCAAGGCUCCCGAAUAAAAACAGAUCCGUAAUCCUGUUUGUAGGCAUGGGAUACAGGUGAUUUUGCCCUCAGUCUUGUUUUAAAACACUAGCUUGUCAGAAGAGAACGGUUUUUUUCCCCCAAUUUUUGUUUUGUACAUUGAGAGGUUUAUUCCCCCCUCCCUUCACCCCCAAAUCACUAGAGUUUAAGGAAGCAUUGCUGAUUGUUCCAGAUUUAUCUGAUCAGGUUUCUGGGAUGUCCUGUGGGGCAUGGCAUGCUGUGAAAUGUAGCCACACAGCUGUGUCGUCUCUGGAGCCUCCGCAGCCACCAUGCCCAGAAAUGAGCCUGAGAGCCAUCUCGCCUCCAGUCUGAACAGCGUGUGUUAGUUUCCCCUCUGGUUCUCCUUAGAAAAGUCCAUCGGGGGUUGAUGGCAUUGAGGUAGAUGAAUUAACUGCCUUUCUUGUUCAGUAAAGCUUGUUCUUCUUUCAAGGAUAAAGCCUCUCUUAGCAGUCGCACAUCGUAAUUCAGCUUGCCAGCAGCAGGAUCGUGAUGUGAGUGAUAGCCCAGCCAGCUCAUUCAGCCAGGCGGCCCGAUUCCCAGGUUCCCACGCAUCGCCGGGAAGGUUGGCCUUCCUCUGAGGUUGAGCCCUCAGCCAGCCCUCAAGCCUCCAUCCCCACCAGGUGGCCAAUGAGAGGAAACCCAGGCUCUCCACUGGCCUGGCACUUGGCGGGAGAACCCUGCCCUGCACUUCUUAAGGGCAUUUCCACAGGGAGAUUCCAGGACCCCUUAGUAGUAUCUCAGCCCCAGUGUUUGGGGGACCUGGGAAGAUGGGUCAGGGUUCCCCACUUUGUCCCAUGAUACAGCUGCUCUGUUGAGCAUGUGUGUCCCACAGAGUGCGGAGUGUCUGAGGUGCAUCAUCUCAGUUCGUCCUGCAGCGAUCCUGUACACAGACGCACUGCUGAGGCCAGAAAGCUUAGGACACUUGUGCAAGAGCGGUGAGCUGGGCCCGUCCGACCUCACCUCUGGCCCUCUGUCGCCGUGUGAGAUUGCGGAGCCCCUGUUAUUCAUACUUCCCAUAGGCCGUGUGUGCAAAGCAUCCCAAGCUUGUUUCCGCCACCCAAGGCAAGAGGGUUUGAGAAGGCCCCAAAGAACCGAAAGUAUUCUGUUCUCUGUAAAGCAGCUGACUGUGGCAAAACUUCCAGAAGCAUUUGUUUUCAUGUGGAAAUGUAUUUAGUCCAGUUGAUGCAGGUGUGCAUGUUUAGGGAAACAAACAUUUUCUUCCUGCUGUGGAUAAGUGUCAUGUUUCUUUGUCACCAUUGGCCAUGUUCAUAAUCCUUCAAGUUGAAUGAAAGGUGGCAGAUUUGCAGUCCCCUCCUUAAAAAUAACACUCAGUUGGCUUUUAGUUGCUUCCAGGUGAGCUCUCGUACCUUGCCGGCACCCGGGGCCUCCACAAUGCGGGCGUUCCUUGUGAGUCCAGCUUACUCAUGCUUCUCAGUUGUGGUGCAGGUGCUCUUUGAGAUGCUGCCUUCUCUGCCUGUUGCUCACCCUGCGAGGCUCGGUCUCUGUUGGUGUCACUCAUGACCAGCCUUGCCUCGCCAGAAUUAAGGCCCUCCUGCUCUCUGCCCACCCUGUUUGGCUCAUCUACUUAAUCCCACUCCAGCUGGGAGGUCUGGAAGCUGGUUGAGGGCAGAAAUCAGGGCUUGUUUAUUGCUGUAUCCUCAGUGGUUUGAUAGAUCAUGUCUGGCCCUUGAAGGAUGCCCAGGGGUUUGUUGGCUGGCUGACUUGCCAGAGGGUCCUUUCCAAAGCUCCUUCUUGGUAGGAUAAACAAUGUUUAUACGCUACAGAAGUGAGGACAAUUUGAAACGUCCCCAGAGCACAGAAGUUAGGGUUAGACACCUUUUGGAUUUGGUGGGCUGGCUUGGUGGGAACUCAGUGUCAUGUGGUGUUUGGGAUGGAAGUGAAAUUUUCUUUACUGUAGGUAGGGGAAGCAAAAGAUUUGCUUGCUAAAUCUUGGCAGCUUUUUCAGAUCAGCUGUCUACAACAGGUUGGUGUUUAUGUUGGGUGUAAGUGAAUUUCAGACAUAGAAUCAAUAUUAAGAGGACAAAUGGGUGACAGCCUGUGUCACUGCCAUGAUAUAGUAUCUUUGGUGUCACACCGAGAGCAAACGUGAGUGUGUGUCAGGUCACAUUGAGGGCUGAUGGAAACAGAUUGCCGGCCCCUCCCAUACCUCCCGAGUUUCUAGUUCUGUGGGUUUGGAGCAGGACGCACGAAUGUGCCUCUCUAACAAGUGUCCUGAGGAUGCGGAUGCCCUGGUCCAGGGACCACACUUCUGGAAGCAUUGCUGUAAAGGAAAGGCAGCUCCAGUUGACUUGGCAUCAUCUCUGGGCCGUUGUUUCUUCUUCCUUGCUGUGCUUGUAGCCAGCUGAGAAGGUUUCCUAUCAGCCUGCCCUGCAGGUUGCAGGUGAAGACACCUAAGGCCAGCUGCUCAGGGAGUUGCUUGUGGUCACGCAGGCUAAGUGUGGUGGACGAGGGACUUAAACCAGAUCUGAAUGGUUUCAAGCUGGUGUUCAUGUGAUCUUCAUGAUGCUGUUUGAAAAGCAGCUGAAUGCUGGGUGAGGGGCCUGUCGUGCCAGACCCCUUUAAAUUUCAUUAGGGAUGGCACCGGGUUCAAGAGACUGGAGAAGAGACCUAGAGCCAGCAAACAAAAGACAGAGGGUUUAUUAGGGGAAUUAAUUUACAGAGUGGUCCCAUGGCGGCCUGGGCAGGAGAAGCGCUGCUGCUGCUUUCAGAAAGCGUGCAGUUUAUAUAGCAUUUUCGCUGAACACCCUCCCCCAAACAACCACCACCCAGCAACCUUAACACCAAUCAAAGAGCCUCAAUAUCCUGUAUGGCCUGCUUUCCAUGGGACAGGCUGGGGGUUUAGAUGUUCCUCAUAGAUAAGGAAUGAAUCUCUGGGUUGGCCACUCCCGGAUUCCUUAGCUCAGAACCCCGAACACACAUUCAGGUGCACCUGCCAUGCGGGGCCAUUCUCAGGGUGUGCUUCAGUUAUUGCUGUCAGGGGCAUCUGUCAGUGGGCUGCGUUUCUGCGACAUGGUGGCAUGUCGGAUGGACAUUGCCAAGAGAAUCUGGUUAGGAGGUAGAGGCAGCUGAUAUCCAUUUCCUUCUAGACUCAUUCUGUGGUUUUGUGGAUUUUCCUUCUUGUCUUUCCGAGAUUGUUGCUUUUUAAUGUAGUCUUAUGUAUAUUUAGAUUGGGUUCUUCAGUAUUCACUUAUUAUAUGAUAAUUUGGCAGAUGACACAUUUUGUUACCAAUAUUUCCAAGCUGAAAGCGCGUUUCUGUAAAAGACAGGAGCUAGAUGUUACUAGUAGCUUAAAAGAGCUGUUGGAAGAGCCUGAAGGAAGUGACUCAGAAGGGAGAGAAGCAGUGGGGGCAGCUGCAGGAACCUUCAAAACAAAACCUGCAGCCCUGUUGCUACCACCUCUUGUUUUUUGCCUAAACCAGGCGUUUUAUUUUGUUAAGACGAAAAUCCCUUAUUUUGCAUCCGUUUUUCCCCCUGUAUACCCUGCAGGUGUUUAUAGUUUGUGAGUCUCACUCUGGCUUGUUUUAACCACUGAUUUCGUUUCGUCUUAUGUUUCUCUACACUCUAGCAAACCUGUGUCCCCCUCCCCGCCCCCAUCCCAAUCCUCCAGCCUUCACGUCCUUAGCUUAAGUGAUUGAGUCUGGCAAAGCGGAUGAGGCUUAGCUAUUUUUAAAAUCCAGGGUUUGAGGUUCUGAUCUGGUGCUUAGCUACAUAAUUCCUUCCCUUUGUUAAGUACCUUUCUCCGAGAAACAAAAUGCACUCUACAGAUGUUAAUCUCUAAUCUUUGCAGCAUCUGUUAUUUUUAUUCAGGGGUACAAGUGCUUUGUGUGUGCUGCGGUGAGCCCUGGCCUUCUGGAAGCUCUGUGCUUCUAAGGGGCUGAGGGGGAUUUGGGGGUCCCUUUUCAUAGUGUGGGCUGUCUUUCCCAAGAUGCAGUGAUGACCCGUCAGAGGCAGGGCUGGUAUUGUCCGUGGGGUCCAGUCCCUCUAUCUUCCAGGGCUUUUCUGGUCACAAGAGACCAUGGCCAGAAGUGGGUAUCGUGCUUGUGUCUGGGGCCUGGGGAGGGAAAACAAAUACCACCCCCUGCAGAAGAGAUCGUUAAUGGAUUCUUUGAAUAAUCAGCCAGAUAGCUUGUUUGUGUGCGAGGUUGGGACAUUUUCCGUAAAGAGCAGACUAAAUAUAGGCUCGAGGGUGGGGACCAGGGCCCGAGAGGGGGCUGCCACUGCUUGCUCCAGUAUUGUUUCUUCCAUUGGUAACCAGAACUUGCCACCAGUCCCGAACAGGUGGCCACCCUGAGCUCUCUGGGAACAGAUUGGUGUUUUUGUUUAACCAGGGGCUCAUUUGCAAAUUUCACACUUCUCCCGCUGUUUGAUGGGGAUUGUCUUUUUUUGGGCUGCAGUGUUGGAGUAUUUGUACAGUGUUUCUACACAAGCAACUGUCUAAUCUUUAAAACUGCUCAUGCCGUCUGGUUGUCAUUAGCAUCAUGGUUAGAAGCUUUUUAUUUGCUUUUUUUUUUUUUUUUUUUUAAGGGUGGGAAAACACUUUUCAUGGUUCUGGGAGAAGAAUUUCAAAUAAUGUCCAUGUUCACAAAUGAUUUAUGUUUGGUCUUGGAGAAAUGUCAGCAUUCAACAGGCUCUAGUAAAUACAACCAUGUUGAUUUCCAGCUUAGGACGAAGCUACUGUUACCCUCUUCUCACUCAGAUAAUAGUCUGAAAGGCAGAACCGUAUCUUUAGAAAGUGCAUUUAGCUUCAAUUCAAUAAGUUUUAGUUUUAGCCAAUAGUGACUUGUAGUAUUGAGGAUACUUGAAAGAAAGAAGUUAAACAUUUUUUUAAAAAUUUAUGAACGCCUGCAACAAAUAGCCACAAGACCUACCCUUUUUUCAGGAAAGAGUUUUCACUUCUUAAAUGUCACCUUGGGGGCAUGCCCACUGUGUGAUGGUACCCUUCAGCAGGAUUGGUAUUGUCGGAAGUGCUGGCUAGCUUAUGUAAUGAAAAAGAAAUUGAUUUGGAAAGAGCUGAUUGCCCUGAACUUCCAUCCUGUUUGUGCAUUGAGCUGCCCUUUUCAGUGGGGGAGAAUCCAGCAUAUUUUCCAGGGAGGGUGUUUCCGGAAGCCUGUCUGCACCCCCUUUGUUGUUGUUUUCGAAGGUCUGGGGUGCUGCUGUGAGCCGGGAUCGAGUAUCUGCUCCUGUUCUGACGAGACUGCUCCUGCUGGAAGUUCAGCCUGGUGAACCUGAUUUGGGAGGGGAUGGUGUGAUUGGCGGGGAACAGCAUUGUGUUAAUUUUAGCUUCAACAAUCAAGCCUGGGUCUCUGAGUGUCCAUGUAGUACUUGAAGUUUGGGUUUGGAAUUGGUGGGAUUGAGACCACUUCAAACUCUUUUAUUUCUUGGAACUUGUUAGUAUUUAUUUAUUUUUUGAGACAGGGUCUCACUCUGUUGCUUAGGCUGAAGUGCAGUGGCACUAUUGGGGCUCAUUUGUAGCCUCAACCUCCCAGACUCAAGUAAUCCUCCCACCUCAGCCCCCGCCAAGUAGCUGGGACUCCAGAUGUGCACCAUGCCUGGCUAAUUCAUUGGAUUUUUCAGUAGAGACAGGGUUUCACCAUGUUGCCUGGGCUGGUCUUGACAUUCUGGACUCAAGCAAUCCACCUGCCUGAGCCUCCCAGAGUGCUGGGAUUACAGGCAUGAGCCACUGUGCCUGGCCUAGUUUUUAAUUUUUGAGACAGUCUCUGUCAAUCAGGCUGAAGUACAGUGGCACGAUCGUGGCUCACUGAAGCCUUGCUUUCCUGAAGCGAUCCUCCUGCCUUGGCCUCCCAAAUAGCUGGGACCACAGGCACGCACCACCAUGCCUGACUAAUUUUUUUAUUUUUUUUGUAGAGAUGGGGUCUCGCUGUGUUGCCUUGGCCUCCCUAAGUCUUAGGAUUACAGGCUUGAGCCACUGCGCCCAGCCUCGAACUCUUUUUUUUUUGACACAUAACAUAGAGAAAGGUGCCCGAGUCAUAAAGGAGAAAGUUUUCACAAACUGAUCACAUGUGGGACCAGCAUCCAGUUCAGUGGCCAGCACAGACUCAUCUGUCGUGAGGGUCGUUAGAAAUUGUAGCCCCCAUUUAUUGGUCUCUUCUGCCUGUGAUAUGUGCUUGAGUGGUUGCCUGUUUUGGGGGCUGUCAGUGUUUGAGUGGCUGCCUGUUUCGGGGGCUGUCAGUGUUUGAGUGGCUGCCUGUUUCGGGGGCUGUCAGUGUGUGACUGGCUGCCUGUUUCGGGGGCUGUCAGUGUGUGAGUGGCUGCCUGUUUCGGGGGCUGUCAGUGUGUGAGUGGCUGCCUGUUUCGGGGGCUGUCAGUGUUUGAGUGGCUGCCUGUUUCGGGGGCUGUCAGUGUGUGAGUGGCUGCCUGUUUCGGGGGCUGUCAGUGUUUGAGUGGCUGCCUGUUUCGGGGGCUGUCAGUGUUUGAGUGGCUGCCUGUUUUGGGGCUGUCAUGAAUAGCACCACUGUGCAGAUUCUCACUUGCCUUUUGGUGCCCAUAUGGCCUCAUUUCUGUCGGGUGUGUGCUGGGCUGUGUCUUUCUCUCUGUGGGUUGGACGUAGCUGCUCGUGAAGCCGCUCCUUCAGCCCAGCAGCCCCUACCUGGGAAACCUUUCAGUGCUUUCAAGGUUCAUUUUAUGACACUCAGGAUGGCCGUUUGUCUCCUUUUGCUGAUUUUCAUUCUUUCAGUUGUUUGUUCAUAAACAAAUGUUUGCAUGGCUAAUGCAUUUCCAGCACUUAGAGAUUAGGUUUUUAAACUUUUGGAUUGUCUGCAGGCUAUUAAUUCCUUGUUAGUUGAAUAAUGACGGCUGUGUGCAUGGAGCUGUGUGAGCGAAAUCCCUCACCAGGAAGAGGGCGCAGUUCCUCUGGGACUGGAACAGGGGCCCCUUUGGCUCUCCUUGGCUCCUGGCAGAAGUCAGUUGUCAACUGGGGGACUCUUUCUGGCUGAGCCCCAAGCAGCCUCAAUCCAUCUCUGUGCUGGGUUUUAGAUAACCCGCUGGAUCUGUGUUGGUCUUUGAAAGGGAAUUCACUCUGUAUGUUUGGCCUAAACUGUGUUAUGGCCUUCAUAGUUACGUAUUAGCAUUAUUCAGUUUUUGUUGUUUGUAGCAAUUAUGCUGAAGACACAAAAGAAGAAAAAAAGCUAAGUGUUGCCAACUCAAGGAGUAAUUUUCUUUGUUCCAGCGCUGUGUCCUGGGAGCUGCCCAUCCCCCUCCACAAAGGCCAGUGCUAAACAAGGCCAGAGCCAGGAAGGACACGCGGGGCCAUGGAUUGAGUGAGGGCAGUGUGUGCGUGUGUGGAUUUCUCUGGUGGCUUUGCAAUGGCAAAUAUUUAUUUUGAGGGAUGGUGGUGGGAGGACCAAGUUUAUACUCACUUUGUUUAGUAGGGGAAGUGGCUAAUGUGAGAAUCAAUAGACAAGAUUUUAUCAAGCCCCUGCACUGGGCAGAGUGCAGUUUUUGAAGCUGGGAGAACAGGCAGAUAUGUGGGACACUCAGGGCCCUUCAGAUCUCCCCCAGGAGCCACUGAUACAGGACUUGAGCUUGGAGGGAGCUGGAGUGGCCGCUUGCUGAGUCUUUCUCCCUGGAGCCCAUGGGCAGCUGGUUACCUCGCGCCGGGGCGACCCUGACUUAGGACCUCCUGCCGUUUCUCUGGGUGACUGCUCUGUAGUCGUGCGUCGUCUCUUUAAUGCUGAGCAUCAGUACCUGCACAGCCCUGAAUGGAGCAGCUGCCCAGAAUCUGUCUUGUCAUCGAUAGAUGGACAGUUGCCGAGUGUCCUGCGUGCCAACUGACUAAGGAGUUUUUGUCUCUGUCACCCUGUCCCCUGUGGUUUUAUUCAGACAUUAGUUAUGAAUCCGUGUUUAGGAUGAGAAGAUGUAAACAGUGAGGAGGAUAAGUGAGAAGUUAGCAAGAGUCUGGAUGGUGAUGGCGGGGGAGCGCUGGUGGAGGAGUCGGGGGCGUCCCGCUGGACUGGGGCACAGCUCUGCAGCAGCAGCCGGUGCGGUUUUGCCUUGUAAGUGACACCGUUGCCUGCAGGCAUCUCUGACAGCUGCUCCUGCUCCAGAUUCCAGAAAUUUCUAUGGAACAUUUCCUGAACCAUCCUCCUGGUUUCUUCCCUUCCCCUCACUGAAUAAAAUCCGUAAUAGCACCUGCCGCUUGAGUGUUUGUCUCUGCAGGAUGCCGUGUUCAGGGCUGGGUGCCCUUUGUGUCAUUUUGUUAUCCUGGUCACUGCCAGACAGAGGUGGUAGGACCCUCAUUUGUCACGUCAGGAGCCUGCAGCCUGGAGAGUUUAAAGCCUUGCCUGAAUCCGCCCACUCCUGAAGGUGGCAGAGUCAGGAUUCGAACUCGGGACCCAUGGACACCAGCCACCUAUGGGUCUUUAUUUUUAUAUUUUAAAAAACUUUUAGUUUCAGGGGUACACAUGCAGGUGUGUUAUAUAGGUAAGUUGGGUGUCAUGGGGGUCUGGUGUACAGAUUAUUACAACGCAUAGUAAGUACAGUACCUGAUAGGUAGUUUUUCAGUCCUUUCCCUCCCACCCUCCACCCUCAAGCAGGCCUUGGUGGCCGUUGUUCCAUUCUUUGUGUCAAUGUUGAGCUCAAGUGAGAACAUGAGAUAUUUGGUUUUCUGUUCCUCCGCUGGUUCGCUUAUGAUAUUGGCCUCCAGCUCCAUCCAUUUUGCUGCACAGGACAUGAUCUCAUUCUUUUUAUUAUGGCUGCAUAGUACUCCACAGUGUAUAUGUACCACAUUUUCUUUAUUCAGCCCACCAUUGAUGGGCAUUUUGGUUGAGUCCAUGUCUUUGCUAUUGUGAAUAGUGCCACAGUGAACACACAACUAACUGCGUGUGUCUUUAUGGUAGAACAAUUAUAUUCCUUCAGGUGUGUACCAAGUAAUGCCACCUACAGUUUUGAUGUUUUAAUAAAGUAGAAAAGGAAACUUCAGAAAUCAGCCCAUAAGUCUGCAGAAGUACUUGGGGAAUUCUCUCUGCAGAUCUCGGUUUGUGAUUUGAAACUCACAUUCACACUCGGUUUUUUACUCAUCAAGGUUAUAAAGAAAAUAACAGCUGUUGGUUCACUUUUAUUCCCUUGCUGAGAGUUGGUGGCGGCUGGGAUGCUGACUGACGGUUUUGAUUACAUGAGGAGGAGGCACGGAGGCAAGCUGACUGCCUGCGAUUACAGGUUCCGAAGUCCGGGAGGAGGGAGGAUUUCCAAACGGCAUGCCUUUGAAAAUUCACCUGCGUUUAGGAAAUCUGCAGCACCUUUAAUCCUGGCUAGCUGAAAAUACAGCUUACAUUUAAGCCACACAAAUUCUGUGACAUUUUAAUAAUGGAGAUGUUAGUGGGCAGUUAACUUUUUAUACAUGUAAAUAGAAGUUACUUUCCCCCUGUGCUGUAAUUAGCAAAAGAGGGAGAAAGGGAUGCUCUGUGCAUCAAAGCGAUUUGCCCAGGGUUACACAGAGGAAGGUGGCAGAGCCGGAAGUGGCAGAAUCCAGUGCACGGGCGGGAUGCCGAGUGUGUCGCCAAACUCCACCACUUUAGUCGGGGGCGUGGUGGUGGCUGCGCUAUCUGCUUCCCACUCACGGGCAUCCUAGCCGUGUGGGGUGUGUGCUCACCUGCAGCCACCCUCACCUGCUUGAACCAGAUUUACCUAGAGGGUGGUGUGAACUCAUGUGAUGUGAAUGAUUACUUAUAGUUACCGUGAAAAUUAAUGGUGGGUUUUAUAGUUGGAAUGCUUUUUCUACACUUAUUUGAUUUUUGUCUAUCUGUUUAGAGAAGUGUUUUUUCUGUUGUUGUUGUUUUUUAAACUUGAGAUGGAGUCUGGCUCUGUCACCAAGGCUGGAGUGCAGUGGUGCGAUCUCGGCUCACUGUAACCUCUGCCUCCCAGGUUCCUGGGUUCAAGCAAUUCUCCUUCCUCAGCCUCUUGAGUAGCUGGGAUUACAGACAUCCACAACCACACCCGGCUAAUUUUUGUAUUUUUAGUAGAGACGGUUUCACCAUGUUGGCCAGGCUGGUCUCGAACUCCUGACCUCAAGUGAUCCACCCUCCUCGGCCUCCCAAAAUGUUGGGAUUACAGGUGUGAGCCACCACGCCUGGCCAGAGGUGUGGUUUACAUAAAGUAAACUCCAACUCUUGAAAGUUUGCCAUUUGAUGAGUUUUGACCCCUGUAGCUACAACCGAGGUAUGGAAGGCAACCAUUCCCCGACCCCAACACUUCCUCAUGCCCGUUUGCAACCUGCACCACUUCUGUCCGUCUGCUUGCACCCAUCUGCUGUCUGUCACUGUGGAUUAGUUUGCAUUUUCCAGAAUAAAAUAGAAAUAAGAUCAUGCAUUAAAAAGGGGGUCCCCAGCCUCUGGGCCAUGGACCAGUACUGGGCCUAUUAGGAACCAGGCCGCACAGCAGGAGGUGAGUGACGGGCCAGCAAGUGAAGCUUCAUAUGUAUUUACAGCCACUCCCUUUGCCUUGUGUUACCCCCUGAGCUCCACUUCCUGUCAGAUCAGCAGCGGCAUUAGAUUCUCGUAAGCGCACAAACCCUACUGUGAACAGCACAUCUGAGGGAUCUAGAUUUGGCGCUCCUUAUGAGACUCUAAUGCCUGAUGAUCUGUCACUGUCUCCUGUCCCCCCCAGCUGGGACCCUCUAGUUGCAGGAAAACAAGCUCAGGGCUCCCACUGAUUCUACGUUAUGGUGAAUUGUAGAAUUUUUUUCAUUAUAUAUUACAAUGCAGUAAUGAUAGAAAUAAGGUGCACAAUAAAUGUAAUGCAUUUGAAUCAUCAUGAAACCAUCCCCCUGCCUCCCUUCAGUGGGAAAAUUGUCUUCCAUGAAACCGGUCCCUGAUGCCAAGAAGGUUAGGGACCGCUGCAGUAAAGGACCCCUUCUUUGACUGGCUUCAUUCAGUCAGCAUGAUGAUUUUUAGGGUCAUUCAAGUUGUUACAUAUAUCCAUAGCUUUUUCUUUUUCAUUGCUGAGUAAUGUUCCAUUGUAUGGAUUUACUACAGUGUUUUUAUCCUGUGGAUGGAUAUUGAUGGAGUUGUUUCCAGUUCUUGGCUUUUACAAAUAGAGGUGCUGUGAACAUUCACGUGCAAGUCUUCAUAUGGGCACGUGCUUUCAUUUCUCUUGGGUAGAUACCUAGGAGUGGAGUGGCUGGGAGAUGUGCUGGGUAUAUAAUUAACUUUUAUGUAAACUGCCUGCUGUUUUCCAAAUCGGUUGAUUUUACUCUCCCGCCGGCAGUGUGAGAGUGUCCACUUUGGGCUUAAGUUCAGCAGGCUUCUGGCAGUGAUGGGAUAGCAGCUGUCCUUAAGAAAGAGCGUUUGCCCUCUGUGUCUCUUGGGCUGUGAAGUGUCUUGUACUGAUGAGGGGGGUGGGAGGCUGUAGGAGUGAGGCUGAGGAGGGAAAGGAGAAGCCUCAGAAAGAGGUGCAGACUGAAGACCACCUUAGAAGGUCGCAAAAUCCAAGGGAGCAGAGCCAGUGUGCCUCUCCUUGUGACCUCUGGCCUCAGUUUCCCUGUCUGUAAAUCCGGAUGUUUGGCCAAGAUCAGUUUUCCACAAGGUGCUGGGUUGGGGGGCGGGGGGCGGCGGUGUAUGGCGUGCAAGCAUUGUAGCCCCCAAGAGGACAUUUGGCCAUGUCUGGGGCAAUUUUCGGUUUGUUACAACUUUGGGGUGGCGUGGUUGUUACUGGCAUGUGGCAGGUGGAGGUGAGGGAUGCUGCCCAAGAUCCCGCAAUGCCUGGGGCAGCCCUGAGUCUUCGUCAUCCCGAGACUGAGAGCCCCAGGUCAGAUGAGCUCUGUGACCCCCUCAGCCUCUGAUCCACACUCACCAAGGGUUACUCUGGUGCACGCUUCUGUUUCGGUGGGAGCUGGUGUAAUUAUCUAGAGGUGUGUCUACCUGUGUGCCCAGAGGGGCCCGCCCUCUCGGUGAGCAAGGACACCUGGUUCCCUGGGGUCUGAGCCAGGCCCUCAGGGAGAGGGGCAGCCAGGAGCCGCAGGGGGCUCAGCCAGCUCCUGGCCCGCAAGUGUUCUAGGAAACCGGCUUCUCUGUGGGGAUGUGACUCUCCCUCACUCCUCCCAUUGCCUGAGUAGGCAAAUUCCACCUAGCUCUUUAUGACUAACUGCCUGGCAGCCUGAGCUCAGGGCAGUUCCUAACGAACUUCUUUGAUUAUUAACCUAUGCUGGGCCCAGGGAAAUUACUCACUUGUUUUCUGGCCAAGAGAAAAUCUCCUGGAAACUUCUAUAUAUAAAUCUUUUUGACAAUUCCGCAUUCAAGAGAGUUCCCCUGGCAGUUCUUCUAUUUGUAGGGUGGGGAGAAAAACCCAUGUAAUUUCCCCAAACUGUGGAUUUUGUUCCUAUAGAACAUGCUUGUGAGAUUCAGUGUGCGUAUUUAUGUGAGUGUGUGUGAAUGUGUGUGAAUGUGUGUGUGUGAAUGAGUGUGUGAGUAUAUGUGGAUGUGUGUGAAUGUGUGAGUGUGAAUGAGUAUGUGGAUGUGUGUGAAUGUGUGUGUGAAUGUGUAUGUGUGGGUGUGAAUGUGUGUGUAAAGGUGAUUGUGAGUGUGUGAAUGCAUGUGAAUGCGUGAGUGUGUGACUGUGUGAAUGUGCGAGAUGUGAAUGUGUGUGUGAAUGGAUGUGUGUGUGAAUGUGUGUGAAUGCGUAUGUGUGAAUGUGAAUGCGUGUGUGAAUGUGUGUGUGUGUGAGUAUGUGUGUGAAUGUGUGUGUGUGUGGUGAUGGUCAUUGUCCACAUCGGUGGUCUUGUCACUCACUUCUUGAUCUGUUGCUGCAUCAGCAGAAUGCUGGGCAGAUGGCUGCAUCUUGUUUGGGAGUUUGGGAGUUUUCUUUGAGUAUCUGUUUUUUAACUUUCAGGGGAGAAUACCAAGGUUGGGAAACACUGGUUUUGCUGACAUAAGAAUAAGAAAAUUGGCCAGGUGCAUUGGCUCACACCUGUGAUCCCAACACUUUGGGAGACCGAAGUGGGAGGAUUGCUUGAAGCUAGGAGUUCAAGACCAGCCUGGGUAACAUAGGGAGACCCCCAUCUCUACCAAAAAACAAAACACCCAGGUGUGUUGGUGCUGCCUAUGGUCCCAGCUGCUCAGGAGGCUGAGGUGAGAGGAUUGCUUGAGCCUAGGAGGUUGAGGCUGCAGUGAGCCAUGAUUGCACCACUACCCUCCAACCUGGGCAACAGAGUGAGACCCUAUCAUUAAAAAUCAGUCAGUCAA